rnacentral:tRNA from 1 species
UCUCUGGUGGCUUAGACGGAAAAGAAUUUGCCUGCAAUGCAAGAGACCCUGGUUUGAUCCCUGGCUCGGAAA